CAGACGCAAGACUCUGAGGUAGCCCUGGGGAGGGAGACAGCAGCUCGGCAGCCCUUAUCCUCAGGAAGCCCUGAGCGCUGAGAGGCGCUGUUACAGAACCAAACUGAGGUUCACUCGCUAGGCCUACUUAGGUGCCUGGAAUUUCCCUUCAAGGAACUCAGGAGUUUUCUUUAUUUUCAUCCUUGGGAAGGCUCAUUAGGCCCCUAAGAGGGGGUCCUGUUCCCAUCUCAGGACUAAAAUGCAAUGAAGAUGUUGCUCAGGUAUGCUCGGGGAAGACAGGCUGGGAGGGCUGGGUGCCACCUUUAAGGAGAAUUCCUAACACAUUGGGUGCCCGAACCCCUGAUGGGACCUUGUGGUCUUGAAUGAAAAGCUCAGGCAUUAGCUCUGUGUGCCCACUGACUUUUACUAAACAGGCUGCUGCCCAGGCUGGUUCAACAUGACGCCACCCCCACCCCCUUUCUCUGUGCUCCCCCAUCACCCAACCCACAAGGGAGGACCUUCACUCUCACAACCAGCUCAUGCCGUGCUGUGCACUCCUGAUGAAGGCUCUUGAGCGCCGUCUUCAGAGCUGCUGAUAAUCUGGCAUUGAAUGGCCAGGCUGGAGGUUGAAUGCUGAAUCCUUUCAAAUGCUGUGAUAAAGCCUGGCAUGUCUCAGCACUGUCUCCUUUUGUUUUCAACCAUCCUGACACUGCAGAGGCAGCUGGAGAGGGAUGGGUCUGUGGGUGACGCCCCGCAGAGUGAAGCCGAGAUGAUGUGGCCACCAAGGCCGGAGGGGAGGGACAUUUCACUUUUUAAAUCAGCUUUCUGAAGUAUGAUCUCCAUAUAAUCACCUAGAAGCAUACAGCGCAAUGAUCUUGACAGAUGCCAGCAUCCUUGGAACCACUGCCACAACCAACGUCUCAAACCAUUCCAUCAAACCCAGAACAUGCCUGGUGCCCUGAAGCGUCUCCCUUCAAUGGCAGAACCAGCAGAGGUUCAGUGGUCACAAGGUGAGUGAGGCAGCCUAGGUCUGGCUUCUGGCCAUUAAUUUUAAAUAAUUUGCAUUUAACUUUGAACCACCACACCUGGCCAUAUUGGACAGUGCAGGAGGAAUAAACUCACUGGCACAUCCUUCUGGAGGGUCUACUGUGUGCCCCCCUCCAAGCGGAGCGUGUGGGAACAGAGAGCAGCAUCCCUGCCACAGUGGGUGGCAGUCUGCUUGUGAGAUAUUUUAUUUUCUUGAAACAAAUAAAAACGACAAAAGGAUGCAUGGUGUAAAAACUGGUUGUCAGGCUAAAAUAAAAAAACCAUUAGUGGGCAACACAGCACAGAGUGGGCUCUGCCCAGGCCACAUGUGUGCAGUGCCAGGACUUGGCUUCAGACCCAGAUGUCCACACCCAGCUCUGCCUAUUACACAAAGGCGGACAGAGCUGCGGGCCAGCGGCUGGCAAAAGGCUUUGGGGCAACCAGAGCUCUCCAUCGGGGCAUUGCAGCCUUUAAGAGAAGGUGGGAACCGCUGCAUUUGCCCCGCCCUGGAUCUCAGCCCAGGAAAUCCACUGUCACAGAACAACAGUCUUAGGAGCUUUCUUACCAAGACAGAAGGAAGCUUCUAAACCCAUCAGUGGUGAACGCCAGGUGGGUCUCUGGAACUUUUUCAUCAUGGAAAACUGAAACUCUCUACUCAUUGAACACUGUACACUUGAUUGAGAGAGCAAAUUGUAUGUGUUUUUGCCAGCCUCUUCCUGAAGGCGAACAUUUGUCUCGAUCUGUAUUUGCAUUCUUUAUCUAUGUUUAAAUUUUGUAUGAGAUUGAAUUCAUGUGUAUGUGAACUGAAAUGAAAUUAAAAAGUCAAACAACAAAAAA